CCACGCCGUAAACGAUGUCUACUUGGAGGUUGUGGCCUUGAGCCGUGGCUUUCGGAGCUAACGCGUUAAGUAGACCGCCUGGGGAGUACGGUCGCAAGAUUAAAACUCAAAUGAAUUGACGGGGGCCCGCACAAGCGGUGGAGCAUGUGGUUUAAUUCGAUGCAACGCGAAGAACCUUACCUACUCUUGACAUCCAGAGUAGCCGAAAGAGAUUUCGGUGUGCCUUUGGGAACUCUGAGACAGGUGCUGCAUGGCUGUCGUCAGCUCGUGUUGUGAAAUGUUGGGUUAAGUCCCGCAACGAGCGCAACCCUUAUCCUUGUUUGCCAGCACAUAAAGGUGGGAACUCCAAGGAGACUGCCGGUGAUAAACUGGAGGAAGGUGGGGAUGACGUCAAGUCAUCAUGGCCCUUACGAGUAGGGCUACACACGUGCUACAAUGGCAUAUACAGAGGGUUGCGAGACCGCGAGGUGAAGCGAAUCCCACAAAGUAUGUCGUAGUUCGGAUCGGAGUCUGCAACUCGACUCUGUGAAGUCGGAAUCGCUAGUAAUCGUGAAUCAGAAUGUCACGGUGAAUACGUUCUCGGGCCUUGUACACACCGCCCGUCACACCAUGGGAGUGGGUUGCACCAGAAGUGGAUAGCUUAACCUUUAGGGGAGGGCGUUUACCACGGUGUGGUUCAUGACUGGGGUGAAGUCGUAACAAGGUAGCCCUAGGGGAACCUGGGGCUGGAUCACCUCCUU
rnacentral:rRNA from 1 species